ACUGCAGUAGGCUAGAGGCAAACUACCGCUUUCCCAUACCAGCGAUUAUUUCGCUGAACGAGGCGGUGUCCGGGGUUCGAUUCCCCGCUGUAGUA